AGAUUGAACGCUGGCGGCAUGCCUAACACAUGCAAGUCGAACGGGAGUAGCAAUACUCUAGUGGCGGACGGGUGAGGAAUACGUAGGAAUUUGCCCUUAAGUGGGGGAUAACCCGGGGAAACCCGGAUUAAUACCGCAUGACCUCGAAAGAGCAAAGUGGGGGAUCGCAAGACCUCACGCUUUUGGAGAAGCCUACGUCGGAUUAGCUAGUUGGUGAGGUAAUGGCUCACCAAGGCGACGAUCCGUAACUGGUCUGAGAGGAUGAUCAGUCACACCGGAACUGAGACACGGUCCGGACUCCUACGGGAGCAGCAGUGGGGAAUAGUUAGGACAAGUGGGCGCAAGCCUGAUCCAGCAAUGCCGCGUGUGUGAAGGAAGGCCGUUCGGUUAGGUAAAGACGUAACUUUAACGUUAGGGAAAGAAAAAACUACGACUCGUAACAACGAGUAGAGUUCGUUAGUACGGUACCGACAAGAAUAAGACACCGGACUAACGUCCUGUCG
rnacentral:rRNA from 1 species